AAAUUGAAGAGUUUGAUCAUGGCUCAGAUUGAACGCUGGCGGCAGGCCUAACACAUGCAAGUCGAACGGUAACAGGAAGCAGCUUGCUGCUUCGCUGACGAGUGGCGGACGGGUGAGUAAUGUCUGGGAAACUGCCUGAUGGAGGGGGAUAACUACUGGAAACGGUGGCUAAUACCGCAUAACGUCGCAAGACCAAAGAGGGGGACCUUCGGGCCUCUUGCCAUCAGAUGUGCCCAGAUGGGAUUAGCUUGUUGGUGAGGUAACGGCUCACCAAGGCGACGAUCCCUAGCUGGUCUGAGAGGAUGACCAGCCACACUGGAACUGAGACACGGUCCAGACUCCUACGGGAGGCAGCAGUGGGGAAUAUUGCACAAUGGGCGCAAGCCUGAUGCAGCCAUGCCGCGUGUAUGAAGAAGGCCUUCGGGUUGUAAAGUACUUUCAGCGGGGAGGAAGGUGUUGUGGUUAAUAACCACAGCAAUUGACGUUACCCGCAGAAGAAGCACCGGCUAACUCCGUGCCAGCAGCCGCGGUAAUACGGAGGGUGCAAGCGUUAAUCGGAAUUACUGGGCGUAAAGCGCACGCAGGCGGUCUGUCAAGUCGGAUGUGAAAUCCCCGGGCUCAAC
rnacentral:rRNA from 1 species